rnacentral:rRNA from 1 species
CAAUAAGCUAAAUAAGGCGUAUGGGGAAUGCCUAGGCUCUCAGAGGCGAUGAAGGACGUGAUAAGCUGCGAAAAGCUGCGGGGAUUGCACAUACAAAUUGAUCCGCAGA